CCUACGGGAGGCAGCAGUGAGGAAUAUUGGUCAAUGGGCGUAAGCCUGAACCAGCCAAGUCGCGUGAGGGAUGAAGGUUCUAUGGAUCGUAAACCUCUUUUAUAAGGGAAUAAAGUGUGGGACGUGUCCUAUUUUGUAUGUACCUUAUGAAUAAGGAUCGGCUAACUCCGUGCCAGCAGCCGCGGUAAUACGGAGGAUCCGAGCGUUAUCCGGCUUUAUUGGGUUUAAAGGGUGCGUAGGCGGCCUGUUAAGUCAGCGGUGAAAGUCUGUGGCUCAACCAUAGAAUUGCCGUUGAAACUGGGAGGCUUGAGUAUGUUAGAGGCGGGCGGAAUGCGUGGUGUAGCGGUGAAAUGCUUAGAUAUCACGAAGAACCCCGAGUGCGAAGGCAGCCUGCCAAGCCAUGACUGACGCUGAUGCACGAAAGCGUGGGGAUCAAACAGGAUUAGAUACCCUUGUAGUC
rnacentral:rRNA from 1 species